GCCUGCCCCUGCCUCCUGAGAGCUGGGAUUAAAGGUGUAUGCCACCACUGCCCACUAUAUGGUCUUUUCUUUAAAGGGACUAAAUUAUACAAACUGUGCAUCAAAUCGCUGCAGCUGUAGUUAUCACAAACGCAUAGAACUGUGUGUUUUUCUAACUGUCAUUUAAAGUUCCCACACUGCAAAGUCAGGUCUUGGAAGUAGGCAUACUAUGCUACUGUGAAUGAAUGAAACACGACUUCACGAUUGACAAAUAUUCACCCGAAGUUACUUCACUGAAUGAGCAGAGCAUGUCGGAGGACUGGUGUAGAGAAGUGCAGGACCCAGAAGGAGAGACUGCAGAGAACGGAUCUUAUUCAGAAAAAGAAAUUUGUCUUGCUGUUCCUGCCACAGGGACUUCAGUGGGAAAACACAAGACAGAACCUAGCUAAUGGUUGUGACAGGAGCUGUAGACUUUCUGUUAGAAUCCCAUCAACAUGAGUCUACACCUAGUGGAAGAAAAGGCUAGCAGAGUGUGCAGUGAGAGCCUUUGUCAUUAUGAGUGAGUGUCUGUUCAUUCUCACUGCCUAGACAGAGGCUUCCUGGUCAGUAGGUCAGACCACCUGUGCAACCAUGCCACAUGAGAUCCUGAAAAACAGAUCAUGGAGACGCUUUUGUGAAGACAUGACCCUUGCCACAUCCUAGAAUGCCAAUGCACCUUGCAUCACCUUGACCUCUAAUGAGAAGUUGCUAGAACAAAAUCAUCUUUCCUACUAAAAGAGGCACUGCUUGGACUUCUGCCAUGGCCAGAUUUUAAGAUCUGUUCAUGUGUUUGUCUUCCAUGGACACAAGAAGUCCUGUUUCUUCUCUCACGGUGCCCUGAGUGUCCAGUAGAAUAUUUGGCAUAGAGAGAGUGCUCAGAAAACAUGGGCAGACAAAGAAAAAAGUGCAUUGUGUUGAGCCAAUAACUGUAACCUCUAUUGAAACAUGUAUAAAAUAAUCAUCCAAUAGAUUUUAUGGAACACUAGAAAUAUCAUGUCAACACAAUAUUCAUGGCAUCGUUUAUGCUAUUGGGCUAAGAUAGAGGAUUGGGCAAAACUGUACCAUUUAUUUUUAAAAUUAAGGCUCAAAUUUCAGUAAUACUUUUAAGAAUCCCACAAAAAUUUUUCAAAAAGGUUUUUCUUAUUCAUUCUUUAAUUUGAUUUGAGAAAGCAUAAUGGCCUUCAUUCUACAGCAUGUGCAUUUAUUAUCAAUUGGACUGGACUGUGUAUAAUUCUACUCCAGCCGACCUGUCCUUACAUUUCCUAUCAUUCGGUCUUUUUCCAGACAUGCAGGAGCACAGUCACCUUCUUACACUGGUCUUAACUCAUCCCAACCCUCUUCAUCUGAUCCCUCCUUCCUCCUCAGUGCUUCACAGAGAGCCCCCUCUUCACCUUGAGGCUUCCCCCACUUCGCUUCUAUCACAGCUGGUCCCUGACAACUCUUAACCACUUGUUCUUGGU